UACCAGUUCAUGUUUUGACAAAGUCUUUUGAGAUAAAGCUUUGAAACUUUCAACACCUGUUUACCAUCACCAUAUCCAGUUAUAGGCAAGAGUACAUAACUCCAUCAAGGAUUUUGGCUGAAUUAUGGCCCUUUUUGACUUUGAAAUCUGGGUUAAUAUUUCGUACCAGUUCAUGUUUUGACAAAGUCUUUUGAGAUAAAGCUUUGAAACUUUCAACACCUGUUUACCAUCACCAUAUCCAGUUAUAGGCAAGAGUACAUAACUCCAUCAAGGAUUUUGGCUGAAUUAUGGCCCCUUUUGACUUAGAAAUCUUGGUUAAGUUUUCCGUACCAGUUCAUAUUUUUUGUAAAGUGUUUGACAUAUGGCUUUGAAACUUUUAUCACUUGUUUAGUAUAAUAGUCUCUAUCUGUAGGAAAGAGUACAUAACUCUGUCAUCUAUUUUGGCUGAAUUAUGGCCCUUUCUGGACUUCGAAAUUGGUUCUGUUUUCAUACAAGUCCACCUUUUGUCAAAACUAUUUGACAUAUGGCUUUUAAACUUUGACCACUUGUUUAUCAUUAUGAUUUCCAUCUGUAGGCAAGAGUACAUAACUAUUUUGACUGAAUUAUGGCGCUUUUUGGACUUUGAAAUUGGUUCAUAUAUUGCCAUUUAGUGCAAGACUUAUCGAAAUCAAAGAAAUACAGGAACAUUGUUUGUCUAAUCUAUUUAUUUCUUUUGUCUGAAUAUCUGUGGAAAUAUUUUGACCCCAUUCUUCAAUCAACUCUUCGAAUAGUCGAGCGCGCUGUCAUUAGCCAGCUCUUGUUUUAAUUACUUCCCUUUUACGUUAUAUAAAUAGCUUAUUUUUAGUAACUUUUUUUAUUAUUGGCCGUAGGGAAAAACUGAGACCACUUUUCUGUGGUACAACAUGGAUGGUACCUCCAAUUUCUAGGUGUAUUUUGACAUAUCUAUACCUUGUAAGAAAUUUUUUUUCUUUUUGGUGAAAUUUCUUUGCUUUGUUGUUCCUGUCCUUUGGAAUUAGAUAUUUUUUCUGAGGACCUUCUUGUCCUCAAGUGCAAUGAUAACAGGUGAGCGAUAUAGGGCCAUCAUGGCCCUCUUGUUAACUAUCCUAAACCAAACAGGGAGGGUAAGUUAUUAUUAUACAUGGAUGGUCCAGUGUUAUCCAUUAUCAUGGUCAUCAACAUUUUUGCUUUAACUUCUCUGAAACUGCUGGUCAGAAUUACACAAAAUUUGAUAUAUAACAUCAUGGCAUAAACCCCUCCCAAAUUUGUUCUAAUGGCAAACAUAGCUACAAUAGAAAAACCUGUAAAUGACUUCCUGUCACAAACCACUUGAUAAAUAUUAACCAAACUUGGUAUAUAGCAUCCAUGGAUAUUCCUUUGGUUCAAAUAGUUCUGUUUGACUCUUGACUGAGUAGCCAAAAGCAGGAAAACCUUUAAAGAGUCUUCUCAUGAAUUACUUGAUGGAUGUUUACAAAACAUGGUCAGUAGCAAGGUCAAAAGGCCAAGGUCUAGGUGAGUGACUCAGAUGGGUGAUCAUGCUAGCAUGCAUUUAUCAGAAGUCUCAGUGUGGUUUAUACUUGUGUAGAUGCACAAAAACAACAGUUUACUCUAAAUAUUGCAUUUUAGAGAACAAAAGCUUGGGUUUUGUUUUAACAUUAAUUUAUUGAACUGUUAUAGGAAUUAGCAGUCUUGUAGAUUAAAGUUAGAUUUUGGCAUCCUUUUCUUGUGAUUCCAAAGUACUGCUGUUACUCUCACUGAAUUUUACCAUUCCUUCUAAUGUUGUCAGUACUUUUCUGUCAUUGUGUUCCUUUUAUUUUGUAAUUUAUUUUUGUCAUUGAUAGAAGCAGCUGGAUCUGCAGUUUCACAAGAAAACCCCAAAAGUCACAGCCACAAAGGUCAUAGUAGUAUGGUUUGAAAACUAAUGCGGGGGCCUCCGUGGUCGAGUGGUUAAGGCCGCUGACUUAAAAUCACUUGCCCCUCAUUGAUAUGGGUUCGAGCUCCACUCAGGGUGUUGAAUUCUUCAUGUGUGGAAGCCAUCCAGCUGGCUUACCGAAGGUCGGUGGUUCUUACCCAGGUGUCCGCUCAUGAUGAAAUAAUGCACAGAGGAGCACCUGGGGUCUUCCUCCACCAUUAAAGCUGACCAAUAAUUGUGUUGUUGCGACGUUGAACCCAACAAAAAAAAUAAAUAAAUGAAAACUAAUGCAAGGAAGAGAGAAUAAUUUAGGGUCAGAAGCUUUUCAAACAGCAUACUAGCUAGCCUUUCAUUGGCUAGCCUGUCAUUGGUGAAGGGGAUAUAAAAACAUUGGGGUAUUUCUGGUUGAAAUUUGUCACAGCAAAACUUACUUAUUUUAGACAGAUAACUUUGAAGAGAUGACUUGUAUUGUAUCAUUAAACAGACUUUUUCAAGCAAGAUUUCUUGCAGAUUGAGAGUUGAAAACUUCCAGAAGAGAAGCUUCCUUUCUUCAAUUCAAAAAUAUUGAUUUCAGGGAAUUUUAUAUUUGAAAAUGGAAGUUAAAAUAUAAUUUGGGAUUUUAUUCAGUCUCAAAAUCACAAUGCGACAAAUAUGUUCAUUUUGAGGGGAGCAGUGGUCUAGUGGAUAAGGUGUUGGCCACUCAAUCCAGGGAUCAUGGGUUUGAGUCUCACUGGGGUCACAACCAUGACUUCUCAUAUGACACCAGUACUGGUUUUUUCCUGAAAGCAGACUCGAGAGUGGUUCAAAUAAGCUUGAAGCUUUAUCACAAUCAAGCUGAAACAAAUUAGUAUAAAUAUGUUCAUUUUAUUAAGACUGAUUACAUGGCCUCUCAGUUUUGAUUUAUUCAUGCAAUUUAUUAUUCUUUGUCUUAUAAAUAUCACAUGUAUAUCGUAAGAGUGAUUUUUGCUUUGUAACUUGAUAUAUUCAACUUGUUUAUAAAUUUAGCCGGUAUUCAUUAAGCUGGUACAAUGUAUUUACAUUUCAGAUCCGGUUUAUCAAGUAUGUUUUUGAGGGAUAGAAUUACUUCUCUUUUUUAUUAUUAUUUCUGAAACAUUUGAUUGAUUUGGUUGUAUCAUUUUCUUUAUGUAUUUUUUUUAAUGUUUAAGACAACUAUGUUAAUAAUUUAUGUUUUGAACUUAGAGUAACAAUGUAUCAUUUUUCAUAUUAAUGAUUUUUUUUUUCAGAUUUAUACCUCGUUAAUGUUUCCUUCAAAAAGAAUAUUCUUAUUAGUUAUUUCCUGUACUAAUCUGUUCCUUUAACUAGAAACUAUAAUCUAAUGUGUCUAAUUAUUAGAUGUUUAACAUGUCCAGUUAUUUUAAAGUUUAAGUCAACCUUUAGCCUGCUGGCAGCAAAUGAUUCUGCCUAUGCGACCAGUGCAGACCAAGAUCAGCCUACAGAUCCGUGCAGUGUGAUCUUGGUCUACACUCAGUCAGUAAAUUUUCAGUGGACACCCCUUCGAAUAAUAAAUGGUACUGCCCAAAUUGAAGGAUAGACCAGUCCAUUUUAGAAAUUCAGCAGGGUAAAGGUUAAUAGAAUUGAUGGGCAUUAUAGUUUGUGGACUUACUUGUAUUGUCUUGUGUUCACCAUGACUGCAUCUUCAGAUUUUUGUUACAAAGUCUAUCAGGCCUUAAGGUUAUAAACUUGGAGACCAGACAGAAAACUCCAGCUUCUGAUUGGCUGUUUCUGAGCACAGUUUUGAAACUGACCAAUGAGAAAGGAACAUUCUUAGACUGACCUCCAAUCUCAGUUUACAAACCUUGGAUCCUGGUAUACUGUGAAACCAUUAAUUUUCAUGGGGAACUAAUUUUCAUGAAUUUUGUGGUUGAGUCAGUGCUCAAAAUUUAAUGCCUAAGAAGCAGUUAAAAUCCCAUUCAUUUCUUUUAUCAAAGGUCAAAAUUCAUAAAUUUGUAUCUCAACAAAGACUUAAUCUGCAUUUUGGUUUUUGUUGAAUUAAUUUUUUUAUGCCCCCGAAGGGAGGCAUAUUAGUCUUCAACUGUUCGUCCGUUCGUUAGUUCAUUAGUUAGUUCGUUCGUUCGUCACAACGUUAACUUUUUGCAUGAAGGCACUUUACUCGCGAACCACUGCACCCAGGACCAUCAAACUUCACUUGCUGAUAGUACUUAUUGAUUACACCACCCCUACUGACUUUGGGGUCACCAGGUCAAAGGUCAAGGUCACAGGGGCCAGCGUUAACUUUCUGCAUGAAGGCACUUUUCUCGCGAACCACUGCACCCAGGACCAUCAAACUUCACUUGCUGAUAGUACUUACUGAGUACACCAACCCUACUGACUUUGGGGUCACCAGGUAAAAGGUCAAGGUCACAGGGGCCAAUGUUAACUUUUUGCAUGAAGGCACAUUACUCGCAAACCACUGCACCCAGGACCUUCAAACUUCACAUGCUGAUAGUACUUAUUGAGUACACCACCCCUACUGACUUUGGGGUCACCAGGUCAAAGGUCAAGGUGCUGCGGGGGCAUUUGUCACCAUUAGUGACAGCUCUUGUUUUCUCAAGUCUUUUGAUGUAUUUACUGUUUAUACUUUUAUCUGGAAUACAGUGAUGUUUCGUACAGUUUUAGAUUGUUGCUCUCAAAAGGAAUGAAAAUAUCUAUCGUUGUUGAGAAGUGCUUGGUCUCAUGUGUUUAUACAGUACUUCAUACUAGCAUUUCACUAAUAAAUAGCUGAAUUUUCACUUCAGAUUCUAAAUAAAUUUUCUUUUAAUUAAUUAAGAGAAACUGUCUUACUACAAUUAUCAUUUGUAUUAUUAAUAUUGACAUGCAAUGAAUCCGCCAAAGAGGUUGUUCAGAGAAUGGUUUGAUAUUAAGAAACUUAUCUUUGAUUGGACAAAUUUAUUGACAGUUUCUAAGAUUAGCAUCUUUGUUCUGGGUACACAUUUUGUGCAUGUAUCAUGAAUAAAUCAAAUGAAAACAGA